UAUUUACCCCAGCAAACAAAGGAGUUGGAUGAGUACAUUGACACAUUAAACAGACAUGGGAGAACUAUGGAGUGACUGUGAUGUGUGAUGGUUGGACUGGACCCACUAGACAAUCCACCAUCAACUUCAUGGUCUAUUAUGACGGGAAGAAUCAUUCUUG